rnacentral:rRNA from 1 species
GGGGCCGUGCGGCGUGCUAUACUGCAAGUCGAACGCUUCUUUUCCCACCGGAGCUUGCUCCACCGGGAAAAGAGGAGUGGCGAACGGGUGAGUAACACGUGGGUAACCUGCCCAUCAGAAGGGGAUAACACUUGGAAACAGGUGCUAAUACCGUAUAACAAUCGAAACCGCAUGGUUUCGUUUUGAAAGGCGCUUUACGGUGCCGCUGAUGGAUGGACCCGCGGUGCAUUAGCUAGUUGGUGAGGUAACGGCUCACCAAGGCCACGAUGCAUAGCCGACCUGAGAGGGUGAUCGGCCACAUUGGGACUGAGACACGGCCCAAACUCCUACGGGAGGCAGCAGUAGGGAAUCUUCGGCAAUGGACGAAAGUCUGACCGAGCAACGCCGCGUGAGUGAAGAAGGUUUUCGGAUCGUAAAACUCUGUUGUUAGAGAAGAACAAGGGUGAGAGUAACUGUUCACCCCUUGACGGUAUCUAACCAGAAAGCCACGGCUAACUACGUGCCAGCAGCCGCGGUAAUACGUAGGUGGCAAGCGUUGUCCGGAUUUAUUGGGCGUAAAGCGAGCGCAGGCGGUUUCUUAAGUCUGAUGUGAAAGCCCCCGGCUCAACCGGGGAGGGUCAUUGGAAACUGGGAGACUUGAGUGCAGAAGAGGAGAGUGGAAUUCCAUGUGUAGCGGUGAAAUGCGUAGAUAUAUGGAGGAACACCAGUGGCGAAGGCGGCUCUCUGGUCUGUAACUGACGCUGAGGCUCGAAAGCGUGGGGAGCAAACAGGAUUAGAUACCCUGGUAGUCCACGCCGUAAACGAUGAGUGCUAAGUGUUGGAGGGUUUCCGCCCUUCAGUGCUGCAGCUAACGCAUUAAGCACUCCGCCUGGGGAGUACGACCGCAAGGUUGAAACUCAAAGGAAUUGACGGGGGCCCGCACAAGCGGUGGAGCAUGUGGUUUAAUUCGAAGCAACGCGAAGAACCUUACCAGGUCUUGACAUCCUUUGACCACUCUAGAGAUAGAGCUUCCCCUUCGGGGGCAAAGUGACAGGUGGUGCAUGGUUGUCGUCAGCUCGUGUCGUGAGAUGUUGGGUUAAGUCCCGCAACGAGCGCAACCCUUAUUGUUAGUUGCCAUCAUUUAGUUGGGCACUCUAGCAAGACUGCCGGUGACAAACCGGAGGAAGGUGGGGAUGACGUCAAAUCAUCAUGCCCCUUAUGACCUGGGCUACACACGUGCUACAAUGGGAAGUACAACGAGUCGCGAAGUCGCGAGGCUAAGCUAAUCUCUUAAAGCUUCUCUCAGUUCGGAUUGUAGGCUGCAACUCGCCUACAUGAAGCCGGAAUCGCUAGUAAUCGCGGAUCAGCACGCCGCGGUGAAUACGUUCCCGGGCCUUGUACACACCGCCCGUCACACCACGAGAGUUUGUAACACCCGAAGUCGGUGAGGUAACCUUUUGGAGCCAGCCGCCUAAGGUGGAUAGAUGAUGGG